UACGUAGGGGGCAAGCGUUGUCCGGAAUCAUUGGGCGUAAAGCGCGUGUAGGCGGCUUGAUAAGUCUGCUCUGAAAGCCUGGGGCUCAACCCUGGGAGGCGGGUGGAUACUGUCGAGCUCGAGUCCGGAAGAGGCGAGUGGAAUUCCUGGUGUAGCGGUGAAAUGCGCAGAUAUCAGGAGGAACACCAAUGGCGAAGGCAGAUCUCUGGGCAUUAACUGACGCUGAGGAGCGAAAGCAUGGGGAGCGAACAGG
rnacentral:rRNA from 1 species